UAACGUUCCAAGAGAUGGACAGACAAAUAUUUUUUUGUACUGCAUGAUGGGACUAGCUCACUUUGUCUUAUUUGCCAGAAGGCAGUCAAUUGUUUUAAACGAGCAAAUUUAGAGCAACAUUUCCAGUCACACCAUGCCCACUUUGACUAAACAUAUCUGCCACAUAGCAACUUCAGAAACAACAAAAUAGCGCAACGCAAAGGACAGCUCAUAGGACAACAACAAAUGAUGGACAGAUCUAGCACUGUUGCAGAGAAAACGAGAGGCCUUUUGGAUUACCCUUCGACAUAUGAGACUGUUUGGAUACUCGCGAAGGCCAUCACAAAUGCGGAGAUUGUCAAAUAAUGUUUUUUUGACGAAAUAUUGUAUGCUGAUUUCACAAACAGCUAUUUUAAAGCAAAUUAACGCAUAGAAGACAUUGGAGAGGACACCGGUCCUGUGGAAAAAUAUAAAAAUCUACUUAAAGAAGACAUGCUGUUGCUCUUAGGGAGCGUUUCAAGACUGGUAAGACCAGCGACCGAUGAGGUGAGCUACUUGCUGACCGGAAUCAUUAAUAGCCAACAACCCGUGGAAGGUAUCCCCGAUGAUGACCAUUUGGACAGUUAAGAUGGGGGACCGUUCCAAUCCUCAUUUGAUCACCGUAACUUGGAGGGGACUUGUCUUACGGGAUGGUCAGCUCGCUACAUCUGCAGCAGCCAGGAGGGAAGAUUGUGUCACUAAUCCGGUGCCGGAGGACAAAGACAAAGAGGCUGUGCAUGCAUGAGAAACUGCCCAUGGAAUUUCAUAAGCUCAAACUAAUGUAUUUAAAAGAGCACGAUAGGAAGAUACAAACCCUUCAUGUUGAGUCGGCUAUGAAGGAGGAGGAGAGAAACAGGAAGCAGCAACAGUACCAAUGUUAUUCUUGAUUCAGCACCAGUUCGGGGUCCCGACAUUUCCAUUUGUGAAUUAAAUACC